rnacentral:tRNA from 1 species
UUAGCUAAAGCCAAAUAGGCAUGUUACUGUUAAUAACAAAUUGGACCCGCUACUCAUCCUUGCUAAG